AGAGUUUGAUCCUGGCUNAGGACGAACGCUGGCGGCGUGCCUAACACAUGCAAGUCGAACGGACAAAAAAGCUUCGGUUUUUUUGUUAGUGGCGGACGGGCGAGUAACGCGUGAGUAACCUGCCCUUCAGUGGGGAAUAACGGCUGGAAACGGUCGCUAAUACCGCAUAAUAUAUCGGGAUGGCAUCAUCCUGAUAUCAAAGGAGCAAUUCGCUGAAGGAUGGACUCGCGUCCGAUUAGCUAGUUGGUGAGGUAAUGGCUCACCAAGGCGACGAUCGGUAGCCGAACUGAGAGGUUGAUCGGCCGCAUUGGGACUGAGACACGGCCCAGACUCCUACGGGAGGCAGCAGUGGGGGAUAUUGCACAAUGGAGGAAACUCUGAUGCAGCAACGCCGCGUGAGGGAAGAAGGUCUUCGGAUUGUAAACCUUAGUAGUCAGGGACGAAUUAAUGACGGUACCUGAAGAGUAAGCUCCGGCUAACUACGUGCCAGCAGCCGCGGUAAUACGUAGGGAGCGAGCGUUGUCCGGAUUUACUGGGUGUAAAGGGUGCGUAGGCGGGACUGCAAGUCAGGCGUGAAAUACCGAGGCUUAACCUCGGGGCUGCGUUUGAAACUGUAGUUCUUGAGUGAAGUAGAGGCAGGCGGAAUUCCUAGUGUAGCGGUGAAAUGCGUAGAUAUUAGGAGGAACACCAGUGGCGAAGGCGGCCUGCUGGGCUUUAACUGACGCUGAGGCACGAAAGCAUGGGGAGCAAACAGGAUUAGAUACCCUGGUAGUC
rnacentral:rRNA from 1 species